GACGAACGCUGGCGGCGUGCUUAAUACAUGCAAGUCGAACGGAAAGGCCCUGCUUUUGUGGGGUGCUCGAGUGGCGAACGGGUGAGUAACACGUGAGUAACCUGCCCUUGACUUUGGGAUAACUUCAGGAAACUGGGGCUAAUACCGGAUAGGUGCUCCUGCUGCAUGGUGGGGGUUGAAAUGUUUGGGCGGUUGGGGAUGGAUUUGCGGUUGAUCAGCUGGUCGGUGGGGUAUUGGUUUACCAAGGCUCUGCCGGGGCGCCGGCGUGAGAGGGUGACCGGCGACAUUGGGACUGAGGUAGGGCCCAGACUCCUACGGGAGGCAGCAGUGGGGAAUAUUGCACAAUGGGCGGAAGCCUGAUGCAGCAACGCCGCGUGCGGGAUGACGGCCUGCGGGUUGUAAACCGCUUUCGCCUGUGACGAAGCGUGAGUGACGGUAAUGGGUAAAGAAGCACCGGCUAACUACGUG
rnacentral:rRNA from 1 species